rnacentral:rRNA from 1 species
AUGGCGGUGACGGGGUUAGGCUACCUGGCGCUCACAUGGUCGACGGUAGUCCUCCUCGGUGGCUUCGUCACCGGGCUGGAGAAGAAGGAUUUUUGGUGCCUCACGAGCAUUAGCAUGGUACAGGCAGCAAGGAUCUUCAACGACUCAGGGGACAACCUAUUUCCUAUAUUUCGGAAGCUAAUGAGAAAUCUUGCGAGGAAGGUUCUUGCAAACCCUGUAGAAGGUGUUCUACAAAAAUUGUAUCAACAUCGCACAGGGCAUGGUGCCUUAACUGUUCUCUGGGUACAAGCUGUCCUCAUCAUCGUGCAAAUAUUAUCCAUCCCGGCCCUGGUCGUGGUUCUAAUUGCAGGGAUCCUUUAUGUGGUUGGGCCUGUCGCCUGUAUCGUGCUCUCAUUGUGGCGCCUACGGCAGCAUGAUUAUGGCGACACCACAAAAGACGGCAAAGCGAACCUGGUGCCAGCACUGAUCAUAUUCUACUGUUUGGUCAUUUGCCAAGGUGUACUCUUCUUCUUAUGGUGGUGUAUCGAUUUUGCGGCGAUCUGGGUUGUGGUUUCGCUCCGUGAAGAUUGCAUGUUACCAGAAAAGUGGGGCAGCGUGACAAUUGUAGAUUACCUCUAUGAUACCCGAGCAAAAUGCUGGCAGGACCCUACAUCCAUCGAUGGUAGGAAUUUGAUCCACUAUGCUGUUGAUUUGGUUGACUCAGAAUUGCAGAAAGAAUAUCUCUCAGGAGCAAGGAUGUUGGACAACUUUAUUAAGCUGGAGGCAGAUGUAAGGUCUCUCUUACUCCCUUCUAGAACAAAGAUUCAGAAGCUGAUCGAUACACUAGGGUGGAGAACUGGAGAAGCAGUAACAGAGAACUAA